GUCACUCAGUCGUGUCUGACUCUUAGCGACCCCAUGGACUGCAGCCCACCAGGCUCCUCCAUCCGUGGGAUUUUCCAGGCAAGAGUACUGGAGUGGGGUGCCAUUGCCUUCUCCGCCUUCCACCCCUAGGCUGCCAUUCUCUGCAAUGCUUGCCCGGCUUUCAAAGGGGGUCUUCUGAGGAGCUCUAGGCUCCAAGAGCAAGAGGGGCUGCCUAUCCUUUUCAGUGCACCAAGACCCCAUUUGCAGAAGUGUGGGUUUGGAAGGAAAUUUCCGAGAGGCCCCGGUGACCAAUGCCCCCACCUCUAGACUCACCCAGGGAUAAGGAGCCAUUUAGGAGUAGAUGGAAAUUUGUUGUUAACGCAGUAGCCAAGACUGAAGGGACAGCCCUGGGGCCACCUGUGACCACUUCCAGCUGCACAAGGCUUGCAGCCUGCAAAAUGCUCCCCCCAUAGCUUUGGAAAUGCUCAAAACCCCUGCCAGAGGUAGGAGUGACUUCCUUGCUUAUUGAGGUUCCAAGAGGCUCUGCAGUGUACUCAGGUCAACGCCUGGUGAGUAUCAGAGGUCAGCUUGACCCCUGGGCUGUUCACUCUCAACCCAGCUGUCCCCUGAGCUUGGGCCACAGUCGGCUGGAUGACCACAAGACAGAGCUCACGUCGUCAUAGAUGUUGCAAAAGGCCCUGUGCCCUCUCCUGGUCUUGCUCAUUUCCAAGAAGUCCGAGGGGCUGGGAACAGGCCACAUCUGCAAGCCAGAUGGCACUACCCUGGGAGACGGCUGAGGUCGGGGCCCCAUCCAAGAAGAUGGAUGCCAUUCACACGUGUGCCCCUGGGGUGUAAGACUGUGGCGACGAAGGCUUGUCACCCCCACCCUCUACCCUGCUCAGUGUUUCGUCUGACAAUCCAAAGCACCACCAGAGGACCCCAGGGAAAAGAUAAAGCCAGCCCGAUGGAGCCAUCAAAAUUAUGGAAUGUCCACUUUGGAAGCUGUGAAACUUAAUUUAUGCUUCUGUUACUUCUGCUACUGUCACAUCAGGAUAUUACAUCAAGACGGAGAAGAAAACAGAAAAAUAAUCAGUGGUUGUAACUCAAGAAAGAAUUCUCCAGAUUUUACUUCUCUUCUCUGGAUUCAUCAAAAGGACUUGGUAAUGUACCUUGAACUGGAUAAAUUGGUUGGGGUUGGAAAGACACAUGGAUGUAUCCUUUUGUGCCUCAGCUUUGAACCCUUAAGGGCCUCUCUCAUGAGAUAAAGUACAUUAAAAAUAGUGUGAAAAUGACUUGCAUCAUAAAAAAAACUCUUCAAAGGAAUUCAAACUGGUCAACAUGAGGAAUAGUGGAAAGAACCACUGUUCUGUCUGGAGCUGGUAGGCACUAUUCAGUUAACAUAAUUCCAUGGUAACAUUGUAUAUAACUGACAUUUAUUGAGUUCUUUCUAUUAACCAGACUCUGGGCCAAGGGUUUACAUCCAUCCUCUCAGUUAAUCUCAUAGCAAAUCUGCGAGAUAGGUACUUUCUCAUGAUCCUCACUUUAUAGAUAAGAGACAGAACCUUGAAGAGAUGAAAUAAUUUGCUUGAAGAAAAUAAGUGGUUGGAGCCAAGACUCCAGAACCUGUCAUUGAUCUUUGUAAAUCCACUGCCUGUAUACUUUUGAUCCAAUUAUGGUGCUUGUGGAAGCAAGUAUCAUGAUGAAACUUCCAC
rnacentral:lncRNA from 1 species